AUCAUAUUAAUCUCCAUAGCAAGCUUUAUGGAUAGCAUAACAAAUCCAUUACAGAUUUUGAUAUAUACUUUAUUGGCUUAGCAUGAAGAAAAGUAUAGAUAGUGUUCUUACCAAAUCACCAUUAUGACUUAAUAUAAUUUUAUAAAAAAAUCAGGUCUAUCUGGUUUCAUGUAUAUCCAUAACAUGUAUAUUUUCAUCACAGACAUCAUAUACAUCUAACUACCAU
rnacentral:lncRNA from 1 species